UGCAUGGUUGUCGUCAGCUCGUGUCGUGAGAUGUUGGGUUAAGUCCCGCAACGAGCGCAACCCUUAAGCUUAGUUGCCAUCAUUAAGUUGGGCACUCUAAGUUGACUGCCGGUGACAAACCGGAGGAAGGUGGGGAUGACGUCAAAUCAUCAUGCCCCUUAUGAUUUGGGCUACACACGUGCUACAAUGGACAAUACAAAGGGCAGCGAAACCGCGAGGUCAAGCAAAUCCCAUAAAGUUGUUCUCAGUUCGGAUUGUAGUCUGCAACUCGACUACAUGAAGCUGGAAUCGCUAGUAAUCGUAGAUCAGCAUGCUACGGUGAAUACGUUCCCGGGUCUUGUACACACCGCCCGUCACACCACGAGAGUUUGUAACACCCGAAGCCGGUGGAGUAACCUUUUAGGAGCUAGCCGUCGAAGGUGGGACAAAUGAUUGGGGUGAAGUCGUAACAAGGUAGCCGUAUCGGAAGGUGCGGCUGGAUCACCUCCUUU
rnacentral:rRNA from 1 species